CGAGAGGACCGAAAGACUCGCAGAGGGGGACGCUGACCAGCGUUAUUAGGCUGCUGGACGAAUCCGAGUCUGGGCGCUGGAAAAGCCCCUCGGUCUCCUUUAACGCGAGCUGGGACUUUACCAACGCUCCUCCUCCCCCGGCUGUUUAGAAAACGCGGAUUAGCACAUUUCCUCAGAGCCGGAGGGGAGGGGCGCGCGUCAGACCUGCGCAUGCUCAGUGCCACCCGCUCUUGGCUAGCGCGGCCUGGGACGGUGCAGCGGGUUCGCGCGUUGCGGGUCUCUCAUGGAGGCUCCCGGGACGCCAGGCGGCGGGGUCUUGAAAGAUGUAGUGGCCUAUGUUGAAGUCUGGUCAGUAAACGGAACAGAAAAUUAUUCGAAGACAUUUACAAACCAACUUGUGGACAUGGGAGCAAAGGUUUCAAAAACUUUUAACAAACAAGUAACUCACGUGGUGUUCAAAGAUGGAUACCAGAGCACUUGGGACAAAGCGCAGAAGAGAGGGGUGAAGCUUGUCUCGGUACUCUGGGUCGAAAAAUGCAGGACAGCUGGAGUACAUAUUGAUGAAUCACUCUUCCCUGCAGCUAACACCAGGGAACACUUACCAAGCCUAAUUAAAAAAAAACGUAAGUGUAUGCAGCCCAAAGAUUUUAUUCCUAAAACGCCAGAACAUGAUAAAAGACUUCAGAAGAAAUUUCAGAAAAUGGCUACAGAGCUCCAGAGGCAAAAAACAACUCUGGAUAAUGAUGUCCCUGUUCUCUUAUUUGAAUCUAAUGGCUCAUUGGUGUACAGUCCAACAAUUAAAAUGUACAGCGGCCAGCACAACACCAUGCAGAAGAGGUUACAGCAGAUGAAGGAGAAAAGGGAGAACCUGUCACCUACCUCUUCCCAGCUGCUUGAGAAGUCUCACGAUGACCCAUUUAAGUCCCCGUGUGAAGCUUGGAACCUUUCACGUGAUACUUUGUGUUCAGAUGAAUCCUUUGCUGGUGCCCUGGACUCAUCUUUUGACAAUCUUUCUGGAAACUCAGGGUCUGGAAGUCAGGAGAGGAGAGUGGGAGAAGUCGUUGAUGAAAGCAGAAGUGGUGUGUGUGUUUCUUCACCUGCACCGAAGACCGGUAGUGUUCAUUCGUCGGCACCUCCUGGUCCUUCAGCUUCACCGAAGACCGGUAGUGUUCAUUCGUCGGCACCUCCUGGUCCUUCAGCUUCACCGAAGACCGGUAGUGUUCAUUCGUCGGCACCUCCUGGUCCUUCAGCUUCACCGAAGACCGGUAGUGUUCAUUCGUCGGCACCUCCUGGUCCUUCAGCUUCACCGAAGACCGGUAGUGUUCAUUCGUCGGCACCUCCUGGUCCUUCAGCUUCACCGAAGACCGGUAGUGUUCAUUCGUCGGCACCUCCUGGUCCUUCAGCUUCACCGAAGACCGGUAGUGUUCAUUCGUCGGCACCUCCUGGUCCUUCAGCUUCACCGAAGACCGGUAGUGUUCAUUCGUCGGCACCUGCUGGUCCUUCAGCUUCACUAAAGACCGGUCGUGUUCAUUCGUCAGCACCUCCUGGUCCUUCAGCUUCCCUGAAGACCGGUAGUGUUCAUUCGUCGGCACCUGCUGGUCACCUCAGCCAGUUAACUCCUCAGAAUCCCUCGGGCCGUCUUUCAGAACAAGAAGUAAGUCGGCAGAGGGAUCCUGCGGGUGAAGCGGUCACCCCUGACACGUGGUCCAGGGGAGCACCCAGGGAGGUGUUUGGCAUGAAACACGGUCUGCCCCCUACGUUAUCUGCGACAGAACGCCAACCUUGGGGACAUUCACAAUCUGAGAGCUCCUCGGCGAAGAGAAGAAGAAAGUCUGAGAUCUCAGAUUCGUCCCCGACAGGAAGACUAAAGAAGAGAUGCCGUGGGAAACCCGGCGUGUCGCAGGAGUGGCUCCUCACGUCGGGGGACCGCCUGCACUUUGGGCCUGGGGCUGCCGCCCAGGCUCCUGGCUGCGGCGUGUCCUCGUACGACGAUUACUUUUCACCUGACAACCUCAAGGAGAGGAGCUCGGACGGUCUUCUCCCCGGGUGUCAGUCGUCAGCGGGCCCUGCUCUCUUCAUCUGCAGAGGCCUCUCUCGGGGGGAGAGAAGGAACAUACUGCAGACGUCUGACUUCUCCUGCAUUGGGAAGAAUCCCAGCCCAGCCCCCACGAGCGAUUUAACGGCACAAAGUCGCCUCAGUCUUGAGAAACCCACACGUGACAAAGCAAACGCAGCGUGGGCUUGCCUGGCCGCUGAGGAAGCCGCAGGGAGUCGUCCGCAGGCUGGUGCUCAGAGAGGGGAGGGCACGCGCCCAGAUGGCACAGAUUCUCCGGUCCACGAUGCACUGCCUGCUGCGGACGGGCUCGGCGGGAAAGGACCUGACGGGGACUCACGUCCCCUGGAAGGGGGCAGCGCGGGAGCCAGAGAGCUGAUGGAGGCGGGGAGCGUGCAGAAAGAAGACCGCCCUCGGACGAAGCGGGAGUCCUGCGGUGGAACGCAGCCUGACGACCGGCUGGGUUUUGUAGGAGGCUGCACCGCGGACACCUCCGCCGAACAGAGGGAAGAUGUGUCCAGAGGAUGCAGUGAAAGUGUUAAAAACGGACCAGCAAGGCCUGAUGUGUUAGAUGGCUCAUUGGAGGGCUGUCAGGAUCUCGCCAGACCUCAUGAGAAAUCAAAGAAAAGAGGGAGAGGCCAAAAGCCAACAAGAACAUUAGUCAUGACAAGCAUGCCAUCUGAAACACAGAACAUCGUCAUCCAGGUUGUGAACACAUUGAAGGGCUUUUCACUUGCCCAGGAAGUGUGUGAAACUACUACCCAUGUGCUCGCUGGCAAGCCUCUGCGCACUCUGAAUGUGCUGCUGGGAAUUGCCCGUGGCUGCUGGGUUCUCUCUUAUGAGUGGGUACUGUGGUCUUUGGAGCUGGGUCAUUGGAUUUCCGAGGAGCCGUUUGAACUUUCUAACUACUUCCCCGCAGCUCCUCUCUGCCGCCUGGAGCGCUACUUAUCUGCGGGACAGUACCAGGGAACCCUGUUUGCCAACCAGCCUGUGAUGUUCAUCACCCCGGCCAGCAACCCCCCCAGAACCAAGCUAUGGGAACUGGUCCUCCUCUGUGGGGGUCAGAUCACGAGAAUCCCACGCCAGGCCGGCAUCUUCAUCGGACCCUCCCAAGGAAAGAGGAGGGCGACCGUCAAGUAUCUGUCAGAAACAUGGAUCUUAGCGUGGUGAAAUCCUCACCCGUGAGGUGAGUCCCCCUGACUCUGGCCACUGCCCCGGUCUGCACCCGGUCCUCUGUGGUGAGAUUCCAUCACUCAGCACCAGGUCUGUGCCUCUGAAAACUACCUGUUGCUUCAGUGAUGGAGCCAUCAGUCAGCACAUGGCUACCGCCACCGGCUCGCAACGUUGUCUUUGGACAUUCAAAUGAGCAAACCCUGACGAGAAGGAAAGGACACAACACGAUGCCUUUUGACACCAUCACCUGUUUGCCUUGUGUGCCUUGUGGUUUUUACAUAAAGAAGCUCCUUUGUGUGACUUUCUGAUGACUGAAUGUGUUUUAAAGAAGCACUGCCAGCCUAUAGGGGCCUUUUCUGUAUAAUGCCAAUCUUAGUAUUUUGUGAUAACGAUCAUGAUUAAAAGCUCACAGAACCUUGGUCAUUAAAGCACCCAUAGUGUUAAAUAAAGACUGGGAAUUAAA